rnacentral:rRNA from 1 species
ACUCAAUAGAUACCCUGGUAGUCCACGCCCUAAACGAUGUCGACUGGUUGUUGGGGGUUUGACACUCUCAGUAAACGAAAGCUAAACGCGUGAAGUCGACCACCUGGGGAGUACGGCCGCAAGGUUAAAACUCAAAGGAAUUGACGGGGACCCGCACAAGCGGUGGAUUAUGUGGGUUAAUUCGAUGCAACGCGAAAAACCUUACCUACCCUUGACAUGUCCGGAAGGCUGCUGAAAGGCGGCUGUGCCCGAAAGGGAACUGGAACACAGGUGCUGCAUGGCUGUCGUCAGCUCGUGUCGUGAGAUGUUGGGUUAAGUCCCGCAACGAGCGCAACCCUUGUCAUUAGUUGCUACAUUCAGUUGGGCACUCUAAUGAGACUGCCGGUGACAAACCGGAGGAAGGUGGGGAUGACGUCAAGUCCUCAUGGCCCUUAUGGGUAGGGCCUCACACGUAAUACAAUGGCGCGUACAGAGGGUUGCCAAGCCGCGAGGUGGAGCCAAUCCCACAAAGCGCGUCGUAGUCCGGGGUUGCAGUCUGCAACUCG